rnacentral:rRNA from 1 species
GCCUCAGUAACGGCGAGUGAAGCGGCAACAGCUCAAAUUUGAAAUCUGGCCUCUGGCCCGAGUUGUAAUUUGCAGAGGAUGCUUCGGGCGCGGUGCCUUCCAAGUCCCCUGGAACGGGGCGCCGGAGAGGGUGAGAGCCCCGUACGGUUGGCGGCCAAGCCUGUGUGAAGCUCCUUCGACGAGUCGAGUAGUUUGGGAAUGCUGCUCUAAGCGGGAGGUAGACCCCUUCUAAAGCUAAAUAUUGGCCAGAGACCGAUAGCGCACAAGUAGAGUGAUCGAAAGAUGAAAAGCACUUUGAAAAGAGGGUUAAACAGCACGUGAAAUUGUUGAAAGGGAAGCGCUUGCGACCAGACGUGCGCCGGGGUGCUCAGCGGGCGUUCUCGCCCGUGCACUCGCCCCGGCGCAGGCCAGCGUCGGUUUGGGCGGGGGGAUAAAGGCGCCUGGAAUGUGGCUCCCUCGGGAGUGUUAUAGCCAGGCGUGCCAUGCCUCCGCCCGGACCGAGGUACGCGUUCUGCAAGGACGCUGGCGUAAUGGUCCCCAGCGACCCGUCUUGAAACACGGACCAAGGAGUCGAGGUUUUGCGCGAGUGUUUGGGUGGAAAACCCGCACGCGUAAUGAAAGUGAACGUAGGUGAGAGCUUCGGCGCAUCACCGACCGAUCCUGAUGUUCUCGGAUGGAUUUGAGUAAGAGCGUAGGGCCUCGGACCCGAAAGAUGGUGAACUAUGCUUGGAUAGGGUGAAGCCAGAGGAAACUCUGGUGGAGGCUCGCAGCGGUUCUGACGUGCAAAUCGAUCGUCAAAUCUGAGCAUGGGGGCGAAAGACUAAUCGAACCAUCUAGUAGCUGG